AUGCUAGUCGCGCGCGUCCAACCAUGAGGACGAGCGGCAGACCGCUCAGUAACACGUAGCUAACCUACCCUUGGGACGNGAANACCCCCGGGAAACUGGGGUNAAUUCCCGAUAGGNGUGAAGGCCUGGAAUGGUUNNACGCUUAAAUGCUCUUCUAUCANGUUUGAUGNGNGCCCGAGGAUGGGGCUGCGGCCGAUCAGGCUGUUGGCGAGGUAACGGCUCACCAAACCUUUGACCGGUACGGGCCAUGAAAGUGGUAGCCCGGAGAUGGGCACUGAGACAGGGGCCCAGGCCCUACGGGGCGCAGCAGGCGCGAAAACUCCACAAUGUACGGAAGUACGAUGGGGUUANCUCGAGUGCAGUCCGAUAAGGGUUGCUUUUCCAUAGAGUAAUAUCCUGUGGGAAUAAGCGGGGGGGCA
rnacentral:rRNA from 1 species